rnacentral:rRNA from 1 species
GAUGAACGCUGGCGGCGUGCCUAAUACAUGCAAGUCGAGCGAACGGACGAGAAGCUUGCUUCUCUGAUGUUAGCGGCGGACGGGUGAGUAACACGUGGAUAACCUACCUAUAAGACUGGGAUAACUUCGGGAAACCGGAGCUAAUACCGGAUAAUAUUUUGAACCGCAUGGUUCAAAAGUGAAAGACGGUCUUGCUGUCACUUAUAGAUGGAUCCGCGCUGCAUUAGCUAGUUGGUAAGGUAACGGCUUACCAAGGCAACGAUGCAUAGCCGACCUGAGAGGGUGAUCGGCCACACUGGAACUGAGACACGGUCCAGACUCCUACGGGAGGCAGCAGUAGGGAAUCUUCCGUAAUGGGCGAAAGCCUGACGGAGCAACGCCGCGUGAGUGAUGAAGGUCUUCGGAUCGUAAAACUCUGUUAUUAGGGAAGAACAUACGUGUAAGUAACUGUGCACAUCUUGACGGUACCUAAUCAGAAAGCCACGGCUAACUACGUG